rnacentral:rRNA from 1 species
GUUUGAUCCUGGCUCAGAACGAACGCUGGCGGCAGGCUUAACACAUGCAAGUCGAGCGAGACCUUCGGGUCUAGCGGCGGACGGGUUAGUAACGCGUGGGAACGUGCCCUUUACUACGGAAUAGUCCCGGGAAACUGGGUUUAAUACCGUAUACGCCCUUCGGGGGAAAGAUUUAUCGGUAAAGGAUCGGCCCGCGUUAGAUUAGAUAGUUGGUGGGGUAAUGGCCUACCAAGUCUACGAUCUAUAGCUGGUUUGAGAGGAUGAUCAGCAACACUGGGACUGAGACACGGCCCAGACUCCUACGGGAGGCAGCAGUGGGGAAUCUUAGACAAUGGGCGCAAGCCUGAUCUAGCCAUGCCGCGUGAGUGACGAAGGCCUUAGGGUCGUAAAGCUCUUUCGCCAGGG